rnacentral:rRNA from 1 species
AGAGUUUGAUCAUGGCUCAGAUUGAACGCUGGCGGCAUGCCUUACACAUGCAAGUCGAACGGCAGCGCGGGCUUCGGCCUGGCGGCGAGUGGCGAACGGGUGAGUAAUGCAUCGGAACGUGCCCAAGAGUGGGGGAUAACUAGUCGAAAGAUUAGCUAAUACCGCAUACGAUCUAAGGAUGAAAGUGGGGGACCGCAAGGCCUCAUGCUCCUGGAGCGGCCGAUGUCUGAUUAGCUAGUUGGUGGGGUAAAAGCCUACCAAGGCGACGAUCAGUAGCUGGCCUGAGAGGACGACCAGCCACACUGGGACUGAGACACGGCCCAGACUCCUACGGGAGGCAGCAGUGGGGAAUUUUGGACAAUGGGGGCAACCCUGAUCCAGCAAUGCCGCGUGUGUGAAGAAGGCCUUCGGGUUGUAAAGCACUUUUGUCAGGAACGAAACGGUGAGGGCUAAUAUCCCUUGCUAAUGACGGUACCUGAAGAAUAAGCACCGGCUAACUACGUGCCAGCCGCCGCGGUAAUUCA